rnacentral:rRNA from 1 species
CCAGGUUGAUUCUGCCUGACGUAGACGCUAUACUCUAAGAUUAACCCAUGCAUGUUUAUUGAAUAUAAAGAAAAGACGAACAGCUCAGUAACUCUUAUUUGAUUUGAUGUAUUAGGAUUCUAACUAUGUUAAAUUAUAGGUAACAAUAAUACAAUAAGAAUAAGAUCUAUCAGUUAGUUGUUAAGGUAAUGGCUUAACAAGACUAUGACGGAUAACGGUAUUACUUUGUAAUAUUCCGGAGAAGGAGCCUGAGAGAUUGCUACUAAGUCUAAGGAUUGCAGCAGGGGCGAAACUUGACCUAUGAUAUUAUAUUGAGGCAGUUAUGAGUAGUAUUUUAUAAUUAUUGUAGUAUUGUAAGUACAUAUUACAAGAUAAAUCGGAGGGCAAAUCGAGUGCCAGCAGCCGCGGUAAUACUUGUUCCGAUAGUGUGUAUGAUGAUUGAUGCAGUUAAAAAGUCUGUAGUUUAUUUAUAAUAAGCAUUGUAAGGUAUACUGUAUGGUUAGGAGAGAGAUGAAAUGUGAUAACCCUAACUGGAUGAACAGAAGCGAAAGCUGUAUACUUAAAUGUAUUAUUAGAACAAGGACGUAAGCUAGAGGAUCGAAGAUGAUUAGAUACCAUUGUAGUUCUAGCAGUAAACUAUGUUGAAUCAUAGAUAUAUUUUGAUAUAUAUUUAUGUAGAGAAAUUAAGAUUAUAUUGACUCUGGGGAUAGUAUGAUCGCAAGAUUGAAAAUUAAAGAAAUUGACGGAAGAAUACCACAAGGAGUGGAUUGUGCGGCUUAAUUUGACUCAACGCGGGGUAAUUUACCAGGUAUAACAUGAUAUAAUAUUUUAUCAUGAUAGUGGUGCAUGGCCGUUUCCAAUGGAUGCUGUGAAGUAAUGAUUAAUUUCAACAAGAUGUGAGACCCUCAUUUAGACAGAUGUAGUGAUACAUAUGAAGGAGAGGAUUAAAACAGGUCCGUUAUGCCCUAAGAUAAUCUGGGUUGCACGCGCAAUACAAUAAUAUUUGAUAUUAUAAGGGAUAAUAUAAUGUAAGAUAUAUUUGAACAUGGAAUUGCUAGUAAAUUUUAU